rfam:Schistosoma haematobium scaffold1165_30, whole genome shotgun sequence.
GCACUACUGAUGAGUCCCACAAUAGGGCGAAACAGCUUUUCAGUGC